GACGAACGCUGGCGGCGUGCUUAACACAUGCAAGUCGAACGGUGAAAGCGGAGCUUGCUCCGCUGGAUCAGUGGCGAACGGGUGAGUAACACGUGGGCAACCUGCCCCUCACUUCGGGAUAACUCCGGGGAACCGGGGCUAAUACCGGAUAUGACCUCCUUGGGCAUCCUUGGAGGUGGAAAGUUUUUCGGUGAGGGAUGGGCCCGCGGCCUAUCAGCUUGUUGGUGAGGUAGUGGCUCACCAAGGCGACGACGGGUAGCCGGCCUGAGGGGGCGACCGGCCACACUGGGACUGAGAGACGGCCCAGACUCCUACGGGAGGCAGCAGUGGGGAAUAUUGCGCAAUGGGCGAAAGCCUGACGCAGCAACGCCGCGUGCGGGAUGACGGCCUUCGGGUUGUAAACCGCUUUCAGCAGGGAAGAAGCCGCAAGGUGACGGUACCUGCAGAAGAAGCACCGGCUAACUACGUGCCAGCCGCCGCCGUAA
rnacentral:rRNA from 1 species